UACGUAGGGUGCAAGCGUUGUCCGGAAUUAUUGGGCGUAAAGAGCUCGUAGGCGGUCUGUUGCGUCGGCUGUGAAAACCCGGGGCUCAACCCCGGGCCUGCAUUCGAUACGGGCAGACUAGAGUUCGGUAGGGGAGUCUGGAAUUCCUGGUGUAGCGGUGAAAUGCGCAGAUAUCAGGAGGAACACCGGUGGCGAAGGCGGGACUCUGGGCCGAUACUGACGCUGAGGAGCGAAAGCGUGGGGAGCAAACAGG
rnacentral:rRNA from 1 species